UUGGAUCAUUACAUCGAUCAUUUUGGGCUUUCAUCUUAUUGUGGGAAACGAUUUCUGAAGAUCGUUACCACCAACUCCGAGGAUGAGACCUACAGGCUUCAGGGUCCCCUGCCGCUGCAAGUCGGCUUGAUCAUGGUUUGCCUGGGUGCCUCCGACUCGUAUACCGCAGAAACGCUGCUCGACCUUCCUUGAAAAGCCUUAAGCGCCCCACUAGAUAUGCUGGAACGGCGCAGACUGCUUGAACAAGUCUCCUGGGUAAGUCGGCUUUAACCAGGUGCCCAUUCGUACCGUAGUAGAAAUGGUGUCUGGCCCUGGUUUGUGAGGAUUAUUCAUGUUAUCAAUCAGAUGAAUCGGCCAAGUCAUUGUCAGUGUUAUUAUGAUAACAUUGCGAUGGCCAUAUAUUCUUUUGUGGUCUUUCAAGAGGAAUACAUUUUCAGGUCAUUAGCACACACCCCUGUUCCACACAAGCGUGCAUGUGCAUGAAAGUAUAUGUAAAUGUAUCGUAUUAAACACAGCAUCCUGAAGCCU
rnacentral:sRNA from 1 species